rnacentral:rRNA from 1 species
GACGAACGCUGGCGGCGUGCUUAACACAUGCAAGUCGAGCGGUAAGGCCCUUUCGGGGGUACACGAGCGGCGAACGGGUGAGUAACACGUGGGUGACCUGCCCUCAGCUCUGGGAUAAGCCUGGGAAACCGGGUCUAAUACCGGAUAUGACUCCAUGACGCAUGUUGUGGGGUGGAAAGCCUUGUGCGGCUGAGGAUGGGCCCGCGGCCUAAUCAGCUUGUUGGUGGGGUGAUGGCCUACCAAGGCGACGACGGGUAGCCGGCCUGAGAGGGCGACCGGCCACACUGGGACUGAGACACGGCCCAGACUCCUACGGGAGGCAGCAGUGGGGAAUCUUGCGCAAUGGGCGAAAGCCUGACGCAGCGACGCCGCGU